GACGGAGGAUGCAGGUGUUAUCCGGAAUCACUGGGCGUAAAGCGUCUGUAGGUGGUUUAAUAAGUCAACUGUUAAAUCUUGAGGCUCAACCUCAAAAUCGCAGUCGAAACUAUUAGGCUAGAGUAUAGUAGGGGUAAAGGGAAUUUCCAGUGGAGCGGUGAAAUGCGUAGAGAUCGGAAAGAACACCAACGGCGAAAGCACUCUGCUGGGCCGACACUGACACUGAGAGACGAAAGCUAGGGGAGCGAAUGGG
rnacentral:rRNA from 1 species